rnacentral:RNase_P_RNA from 1 species
CGAGGAGGACGGAUGGUCGCCGCCGCGUUCGGCUUUGGUCGGCGCGGGGGAGGAAAGUCCGAGCACCUCAUGGAUCGGAGUGCCUGCUAACGGCAGGGCGGGGCGACCCGACGGAAAGUGCAACAGAAAGUAGACCGCCGGCGCGCAAGNGCAGGUAAGGCUGAAAGGGUGCGGUAAGAGCGCACCGCCCGGAUGGCGACAUGCGGGGCAAGGUAAACCCCACUCGGUGCAAGACCAAAUAGGGAAGCUGUGACCGGAUCCGGGUAGCUUCCGGGUUGGUUGCUUGAGCCUGCGGGCAACNGUAGGCCUAGAUGGAUGGCCGUCGCCGGUUUCCGUUCAGGAAGUCGGUACAGGACUCGGCUUACAGUCCGCCUCGCGGC